rfam:Myotis brandtii contig246078, whole genome shotgun sequence.
GGUGGUUCUCAGGUGAUGCACCCCAGAAUCUGGCUCCCUUCUUUCUGAUUCCGGAUGCAUCACCCAAGAAUCGCA